UCCAAGCAGUGGCUGAAGCCACAUUUUAAUCAACGCCGCAGCGACUCGAACUUGGGACCAUGAGGAUAGAAAUUACGCUCAGUACCACUAGGCUACCAACUUGGUGGUAAGGGAAGCUUCUUGCUUCCACCACCUUCUUUUCAAAAAUAGAAAAACCACCAAUAAAAUCUAUAAAUAACUCUUGGAGCUUGCUAUUGUGCUCCUGUAAAAUCCGUACAAUAUGUAUUUUUUUGGGGGGGUAUAACAGCCGCUCGUACGUGUCAAGCACGAGUAAGGCCGACCGAAUCAAGAAAGAGUAAAUAACACAGGACGUAGGGCACUUUAGCCGUGUCAUCUCAUAUGAAACCUCCAGCAUAGUGGGCUGAAAACGAUGUCAUCAAAUCAGCCGCACUGUUCGCUUUUUUGUAGAUAUGUGUAGCCCUGGAGAGUCUGCCAGUAGUGAAAAGCCUACAAAUGUCACAUAGCAGCGGUCUAGAAUCCUCACUAGUGUGAGGGACCAGCCCACACACAGCAGGCUGGUGGGCCAAGCCCAACGCGGCCAGCCUAGAAACCCCAGCAGAGUCUGUGGAAAGAAGAUGGUUGUGAUUGNNN
rnacentral:lncRNA from 1 species